rnacentral:lncRNA from 1 species
AUAUAUAUAAAAAUUUAAAGUAAACAAUAAUAAAAAAUAUUUUAAAAUAAAUAAAUAGGGUUAUAUAAAGCAUGAAAAUAGUUUUAAAAUGAACGAUGUGCAUAUAGAUUAAUUUAAAAAUAUACAUAUAUACAUAGAGAUAAAAACUUGAAAUAAAAGGGGGCUUAAAGAAAAUAAUAAUAGUAAUAAUAAUAUACAAAACUGUCACUUUGUUAUAUGUAUAAAAAAUAAUUGGAAAUAAACUAUAUGAAUGAUAUGUGAAAAGUAUCAAAAACAUAUAAUAUAACAAAAUAGCCAAGUACACUCAAUAUACAAAAAAAAAAACGUUUAAAAUGGAUAAUAAUUCAAUUUUUAAUAAUCAAUGUUAAAACAAGUUAAAAUAAAUCAUAUACAUAAAUAAUCUAGUAGCAAACAGUAUGUAAAAUAUUUGAAAUAGUACAUAAUAAAACAUUCUAAAAUUAAUAAACAAUAAAAGUAACAAAAAGGAUGCAGGACGUGAUUGAAAGUGGGCCAGAAUUCAGGGUAUCGAUUGCAAAUGAAAAGAGAAGGUCACUGGGGGCUAAUUCGAAACAUGCUUAAACUCGCGGGGAUUAAUUGGGACAAUAUCCCAAACCCAAGCAUAUGUGUGCAAAACGGCAGUGUUUUGCAUGGCUAUUAAAGCCAAAAUUUUUUGUUUAUUUUUAUUUUAACUUCAUUUUCUUUCAAAAAAAAAAGGCAGAGAGCUUUCCUGCUCUCUCUCUCCCUCCUCCCUCUUCUCAUUUGGCUAGGGUAAUAUACCCAUCACGCCGGACCACCGCUCCUCCACCGUAGACGGUGGUCGGGGAGACGUAAAAUGGUCCCCUUAGCCUCGUUUGAAACGCCUUUGAAGGCUAGGCUACCAAAACUGAAAGAAUCGAAGGAGGCCCUCAACCCCCCCUUUUGGGUCCGAUGUCGGCGAUGAAAAAGUGUUCUCCGACGCGCGACCACGAGAUCCAGGUGAGCCCCUCCCUUUUCUUUUUUAUUCUUUGUUUUUUAUGCAUAAAAUAGAUAUCUAAAAAAUGAAAUAAAAUGAAAAAAUGAGAAGAUAAAAGAAACAAAAAAUAUUAAAACAACGACCUUUCUAAUUUUUAUUUUGCGUUUUGCUUUCUAAUCUCCGUAAAAAAAGAAAGGGAUUGAUUUUGGCUUUUUAUAGCCGAGUUACACUGAUUUGUUCUUUGUUUUUUCAUUUUGUUUGAUUCCUUUCGUUUUUUUUUGCUCGUCGUUUUCUCUUUGUUCGUUUCUCCGCUGUUGGUAUUUGCUUGCGUAUGGACCUUCAUUUUGCAGGUCGUGUCAGAGGCUGAUGGUUGGUGCCCCGAGCCGUGGUGGCACACGUGGCAGAGGAGGCAGCGGUUGAAAGUCUGCAACUAGGUUUUUUGCUGCUGAAAAUUUUUAGUUGGUUGGGCUGUCUUGGGCUUUAGGGUUUGUAUUUAAUUGGCUUUGGUUUAGUAGUGGGCUGAUGGGGUUUGGGUAGUUUGUAAUUUGGGCUAGGUGACUCUUGGAUUUUAUUUUUAUUUAUUGUAUUUGGUGUUUUAUUUUGGUUUGUUGGUAUGGGCCAAAAUUGGCUGCUACACCUACAAUUCAUAUUAAAGUUAGAAAAACAUGAAAUAUAAAAUAAUAAGGGUCACAAUUUGGGAUCCAAGGAUCACGCCAACAUUGAAUAUUCUUACCAUCACCAACGGACCAUAAGAGGUUUUCAUAAAUAAGGGGCCAAACCUUAGCAAUUGAUCUCUGUAGGAAAGAACAACGCCCCCUUGAAAUAUUUUCGGGUAAACCACUAGGAACUCCGUACUUUGAUCGAAGGACACGAACCCACAAAGCAUUGACAUUAGAGACAAUGUUAAAACCAAUCUUCAUCAUGAAAGAGGUAUUAUGAUCUUUCAAACGCCUUAGACCAAGGCCCCCAUGACCUUUCGGUUGACACACCGAGUCCCAACUAACCAAUGCUACCUUCGAGUUGCCAUUAGAGGAUCCCCAAAUGAAUUUUCGCACAAUUCAUUCGAUCUCAUCGCACAAACCUUUAGGAACC